rnacentral:rRNA from 1 species
UACGAAGGGGGCUAGCGUUGCUCGGAAUGACUGGGCGUAAAGGGCGCGUAGGCGGAUGGCACAGUCAGAUGUGAAAUUCCCGGGCUUACGCUGGGGGCUGCAUUUGAUACGUGUUGUCUUGAGUUCGGAAGAGGGUCGUGGAAUUCCCAGUGUAGAGGUGAAAAUUCGUAGAUAUUGGGAAGAACACCGGGUGGCGAAGGCGGCGACCUGGUCCGACCACUGGACGCUGAGGCGCGAAAGCGUGGGGAGCAA